GCCUGGGUGGCUCAGUCAGUUGAGCAUCUGACUUCAGCUCAGGUCACAAUCUCGCAGUCCGUGAGUUCGAGCCCCGUGUCAGGCU
rnacentral:tRNA from 1 species